UUCUUUUUAAAAAUAAAAUAUUGAAAAUAAAAUUGAAUGACAGAUUCUACUCAAAGAGAGAUACUACCGCCCUAACGCCCCUAUCAGACGACCAAACCCACUAUACAGAGACUCCACAAGGUGCGAAUAUAGAGAUCAGAGGGUCGCUAUUGAUUUGCUUAGUUCUUUGCCAAGCACAACACUUGGGUAAUUUACAAGAAGAGUUGAGGAACAAACUGAAAGGUCUUAAUUGCUACUUAGAGCCAAAGAGUAGUUGAAAAAGAGGUAGAGACAAAUAAGAAAAUGAAUAUUGGUGAUACUGAGAAAAGUGCAAAUAUUAUCAGGAUCCUAAUGAAGUAGGAGUUGAUCAUGGAAAAGGAUAGUGGUAGGAAGCAUCAAGAAAUUGAAAAUCAAAUGUACACGGCUCAAGAAAAGAGCAAGACAAUGCAGAUUUCUAUUAGUACCGACUCUUAUCUUUUAAUGAUUGCUAUUGAGAAAAUUUUAUAAUGGAAGACUUGGUUAGGCCUACCAUAGCCACUUUCUUUGCACUUACAUAGGCUUGGACAUUUAAUCUUGAGGGACCAAUUUUUAGUUUCAAUCAAUGCAAGUGCAAAAUAAGGAUUGGCUUUAAGGGAUC